AUAAAUUCGUUGAAGAGAACGAGUAGGUUAUGAAAACUGUUCCCCAGAGAGCUAACGUUUGCUGAAAGUUAGCGUACAGUUCCUAGCUGAAAAUCAUCUCUGAGAAAAUAUGCUGAAGCCUUAUAGUAAGUAUAUUCGGACGUCCACCGUUAGAAGGAACACGUAUGAACACGUACGUUGGCGAGUGCUGCUGUUUUUAGUAGAACGAGGGUGGUAACGCGAGAAUUAUAUCUCGUCCCUUUU
rnacentral:ncRNA from 1 species